rnacentral:rRNA from 1 species
AGUGAGCGCUGGCGGUAGUCCUAACACAUGCAAGUCGAACGGCAGCACAGUAAGAGCUUGCUCUUACGGGUGGCGAGUGGCGGACGGGUGAGGAAUACAUCGGAAUCUACUUUUUCGUGGGGGAUAACGUAGGGAAACUUACGCUAAUACCGCAUACGACCUACGGGUGAAAGCAGGGGAUCUUCGGACCUUGCGCGAUUGAAUGAGCCGAUGUCGGAUUAGCUAGUUGGCGGGGUAAAGGCCCACCAAGGCGACGAUCCGUAGCUGGUCUGAGAGGAUGAUCAGCCACACUGGAACUGAGACACGGUCCAGACUCCUACGGGAGGCAGCAGUGGGGAAUAUUGGACAAUGGGCGCAAGCCUGAUCCAGCCAUACCGCGUGGGUGAAGAAGGCCUUCGGGUUGUAAAGCCCUUUUGUUGGGAAAGAAAAGCAGCAGGUUAAUACCCCGCUGUUCUGACGGUACCCAAAGAAUAAGCACCGGCUAACUUCGUG